ACGACGUCGAGCUACUACGGUAGUGAAGUCAUUGAUGCCAUGCUUCCAGGAAAAGCCUCUAAGCUUCAGAUAGUCAGGAAUCGUACCCCAAACCGACACAGGUGGUCGGGUAGAGAAUACCAAGGCGCUUGAGAGAACUCGGGUGAAGGAACUAGGCAAAAUGGUACCGUAACUUCGGGAGAAGGUACGCUCUUGAUGGUGAAGUCCCUCGCGGAUGGAGCUGACGAGAGUCGCAGAUACCAGGUGGCUGCAACUGUUUAUUAAAAACACAGCACUGUGCAAAAUCGCAAGAUGACGUAUACGGUGUGACGCCUGCCCGGUGCCGGAAGGUUAAUUGAUGGGGUUAGCGCAAGCGAAGCUCUUGAUCGAAGCCCCGGUAAACGGCGGCCGUAACUAUAACGGUCCUAAGGUAGCGAAAUCCUUGUCGGGUAAGUUCCGACCUGCACGAAUGGCGUAAUGAUGGCCACGCUGUCUCCACCCGAGACUCAGUGAAAUUGAAAUCGCUGUGAAGAUGCAGUGUACCCGCGGCUAGACGGAAAGACCCCGUGAACCUUUACUACAGCUUGGCACUGAACAUUGAACCUACAUGUGUAGGAUAGGUGGGAGGCUAUGAAGACGUGACGCCAGUUGCGUUGGAGCCGUCCUUGAAAUACCACCCUUGUAUGUUUGAUGUUCUAACUUAGACCCAUUAUCUGGGUUGAGGACAGUGCCUGGUGGGUAGUUUGACUGGGGCGGUCUCCUCCCAAAGAGUAACGGAGGAGCACGAAGGUGGGCUAAUCACGGUUGGACAUCGUGAGGUUAGUGCAAUGGCAUAAGCCCGCUUAACUGCGAGAAUGACGGUUCGAGCAGGUGCGAAAGCAGGUCAUAGUGAUCCGGUGGUUCUGUAUGGAAGGGCCAUCGCUCAACGGAUAAAAGGUACUCCGGGGAUAACAGGCUGAUACCGCCCAAGAGUUCAUAUCGACGGCGGUGUUUGGCACCUCGAUGUCGGCUCAUCACAUCCUGGGGCUGAAGUCGGUCCCAAGGGUAUGGCUGUUCGCCAUUUAAAGUGGUACGCGAGCUGGGUUUAGAACGUCGUGAGACAGUUCGGUCCCUAUCUGCCGUGGGCGUUGGAAGAUUGAAGGGGGCUGCUCCUAGUACGAGAGGACCGGAGUGGACGAACCUCUGGUGUUCGGGUUGUGUCGCCAGACGCAUUGCCCGGUAGCUAAGUUCGGAAUUGAUAAGCGCUGAAAGCAUCUAAGCGCGAAGCGAGCCCUGAGAUGAGUCUUCCCUGACAGUUUAACUGUCCUAAAGGGUUGUUCGAGACUAGAACGUUGAUAGGCAGGGUGUGUAAGCGUUGUGAGGCGUUGAGCUAACCUGUACUAAUUGCCCGUGAGGCUUAACCAU
rnacentral:rRNA from 1 species